AGGUGCUCUUACAGAGCAAGCAAAGCAAAGUCUUGAGAGCUCAAAAAUAUCAAUAUGGAACCUGAAAGCAAGCCAAGUCUCUCUGAACUCAGCAGCACAGCAGCAUUAGGAGAUUACGUUCUGAUAUCAGAGGUGGGGAAGGCUCUUUCUCCAGAGUGUGGAAAGCCGUGCACAGAGAAAGUGGGGAGGUGGUGGCUCUGAAGCAGGUCUUCCUCUCGCGGCUCAACAGGCGCCUCAAGAAUUGCUUGGAUUGCGAGAUCAAAUUCUUGUCCUCUGUUUGCCACCCCAACAUCGUUCGUCUCCUCAAAGCUUUCCAGAAUGAAGGUUGCAUAUUCCUGGUCCUGGAAUUCUGCAAUGGGGGAAAUUUGGCAGCCUAUAUUCGGCAACAUGGGAGAGUUCAAGAACAGAUUGCUAGAAAAUUUAUGCAGCAGCUUGGGGCUGGUUUGGAAAUACUACAUUCUCACCACAUCAUUCAUAGAGACUUAAAACCUGAGGACAUUCUACUCUCUCUCAGUGAUGAUGAUGUGGUGGUAAAGGUGAUUUCGGUCUCUCAAGAAGCUUACAUCCUGGUGAUUAUGCGGAGACAGUUUGUGGAUCCCCAUUAUACAUGGCACCUGAAGUUCUUCAGUUUGAAAGAUAUGAUGGAAAGGUUGACAUGUGGAGUGUUGGUGUAAUUCUUUUUGAGCUUCUUAAUGGUUGCCCUCCUUUUCCUGGCAGGACUAAUAUUCAGGUGCUUAAGAACAUCAAGUCAUCUACAUGUCCCCCUUUUGACCAACUCAUCCUUUCUCGGUUGCAUCCAGACUCUGUUGAUAUGUGUUCAAAACUGUUGUCUCAAAAUCCAGUUCACCGCCUGUCCUUCCAUGAAUUUUAUUCGCAUAGGUUUUUCAAGGUUUUUGGGAAUAGUUGAGAUGUAAAAACAAUUAUGGGAACUCAGAUGCAGUUUGAAAUCUAUGUAGAAAGUGCUUUUACUGAUGAGUUUGAUUCCCAAAAGGCAACAAGGCACCAGUUGAGAUCAAGUUCCAAAAAGAAAAAUUGUGUUAGAAGAGGUUUCUUGAUUGGGAACGUUAAGAUCUUCAGGCUCCAUCACUUUUCCAUGGAUCGUGAUGUUUUUAGGCUCAUUCCUUUUGUUUUGGUAGUAACUAUGAGCUUAGAAGUUGGAAUUCAAUUUCAGAAAGUCUGCCUUGAUUGUAAUAUCUUGAGUCAUUUGGUUCCAUAAAGGGCAUGUUCAUGAUAUUAUAGAAAUCCUCCUAUGAAAAUGAGAUUGCUCGAGUUCUAUUUU